AUCCGAAAAAGGCUACCCCGAACGAAAGGUCGGGGGCGCAAAGUCACCGGCCUAAGGGGCGCAGCCCUAAGGCAGCGGGAUUGCCGGA
rnacentral:ncRNA from 1 species